rnacentral:lncRNA from 1 species
CCUAGCCGCCACCCAUGUUUCACCAUCUUCACCUCUCAACACAGCCCCCACCCCCAUCUUCACUCUCAACCUUUCUCGUCCAUGUUUCUCAAUCUUCACCUCUCAGCACAGCCCCCCCUCCCAUCUUCACUCUCAACCUUUCUCGUCCAUGUUUCUCAAUCUUCAUCUCUCAGCACAGCCCCCCCUCCCAUCUUCAUCUCUCAUCUCUCAACUGUUCUCACAGCCCCCCAUCUUCAUCUCUCAACCUUUCUCACGGCCCCCCAUCACAGCCCCCUAUCUUCAUCUCUCAUCUCUCAACCUUUCUCACAGCCCCCCCUCAACAUCUUCAUCUUCAUCUCUCAUCUCUCUCAACCUUUCGUUAAGGCUUUAAGCACAACCCCCCCUCCUCCCUCAAAGUAGAUCUGGUGAACGAACCAUCAUUAUCUCUAAUCUCUCAAUCUUUUUGUUCUUUUCCUUAAGCAUGGUCGACUAAGCUGAUGGAUUAACAACCAAACAGCAGCUCUAGAGCCCCCCUCUCUUCAAUCUUUAUCUCUUAAUUUUUGUCCCUGUUUACUUUUUUUAUGAUUUAUGUAGAUCUAUUAUGUAUUCAUUUUCUAUAUUUAUUUACAAGGUUGUUGAUUUGUUAUAGGAUGUUCAUGUUGCGAUUACUGUAAUGGAUGUUGUGAGAAUUAUUUUUUUCAAAUUUUCGUGUCUCUUGUUCUUUCUGGCUUCUUGAUUUUCAAUUUCAGAAAACCUGCUCGAUAUGCUUGGCCAAGAUGGAAUCGGUUUUUUUCCGGUUUUUCCUUUCAAUUAACCGAACCGAACCGAACCGAAACUGUUCGGUUUGAACCGGUUUCGGUUCGGUUUCGGUUUUGAUUUAAAAAUGAAUAAAUAAAUUGAUUUGGUUAGUUUUUUGGGUGAAAACCGGACCGAACCGGAAAUGCUCACCCCUAA